UACGUAGGGGGCAAGCGUUGUCCGGAUUCAUUGGGCGUAAAGAGCGUGUAGGCGGCCAGGUAGGUCGGUUGUGAAAACUGGAGGCUCAACCUUCAGAGGUCGACCGAAACCAUCUGGCUAGAGUCCGGGAGAGGAGAGUGGAAUUCCUGGUGUAGCGGUGAAAUGCGCAGAUAUCAGGAAGAACACCGGUGGCGAAGGCGGGUCUCUGGGCCGAUACUGACGCUGAGGAGCGAAGGCGUGGGGAGCGAACAGG
rnacentral:rRNA from 1 species